AAUUUAUAGUGAAACUGCGAAUGGCUCAUUAAAUCAGUUAUAAUUUACUUGAUAAUUUUAUACCAGUGGAUAACCGUGGUAAUUCUAUGGCUAAUACAUACAUUAAAGGGCCUUACUCUGUAAGGCCUGUAGUUAUUAGAUAAAAAACCAAUGCUUGCAAAAGCUUUUUUGGUGAUUCAUAGUAAACUUACAGAUCGUUGUUUUCGACGACCUGUCAAUCAAAUUUCUGCCCUAUCAACUUUCGAUGGUAAGGUAGUGGCUUACCAUGGUUGUAACGGGUGACGGGGAAUAAGGGUUCUAUUCCGGAGAGGGAGCCUGAGAAACGGCUACCACAUCCAAGGAAGGCAGCAGGCGCGCAAAUUACCCAAUCCUAAUACAGGGAGGUAGUGACAAUAAAUAACAAUCUAGGGCCCUUAUGGGUCAUAGAAUUGGAAUGAAUACAAAUUAAAACUCUUAAUGAGGAACCAUUGGAGGGCAAGUCUGGUGCCAGCAGCCGCGGUAAUUCCAGCUCCAAUAGCGUAUAUUAAAGUUGUUGCAGUUAAAACGCCCGUAGUCGAAUUUUUGGGAGUAAGAGGGAUUGUAGGGGCAUUGGCCUUGGUCAAUUGUUUCUACUUUUUCUUAGACUCUCAUUUUAAAUUCCUGGUCUUUGGGCUUAGUUGCUACUUUACUGGAGUAGCUAAGUCAUUUCCUUCGGGUGGGCCAGGAAUGAUUACUUUGAAAAAAUUAGAGUGUUCAAAGCGGGCUUUUUAAGCCGAAUACAUUAGCAUGGAAUAAUAAAAUAAGACUAUAGUUUUAUUUUGUUGGUUUAUAAAACUAAAGAAAUGAUGAAUAGGUUUGGUUGGGGACAUUAGUAUUUAAUAGUCAGAGGUGAAAUUCUUGGAUUUAUGAAAGACUAACUUCUGCGAAAGCAUUUGUCAAGGACAAACCCAUUGAUCAAGGACGAAAGUUGGGGGAUCGAAGAUGAUUAGAUACCGUCGUAGUCUCAACCAUAAACUAUGCCAACUAGGGAUUAGGGCUGAUUCUAUCAGUCUUAGCACCUUGUGAGAAAUCAAAGUUUU
rnacentral:rRNA from 1 species